GGAACACCCGCCUUCCUGUCGCGUCGCGUCGCGUCCCCUCCUCCUCGCCCCACCUUCCUCUCCUCUUCUCCCCUCAGACCUUUCUCCUCCGCCCCCGACUCCUGCCGGAGCUCGAGAUCCCGGAGCGAGCCUCCCACGGGCGCCUCCACUCCCCUCGCCGCACCAACCCGCCGUGUUAUCGCCAGAAACCCCGGCCAGAACUACUCAGCCAGACCAACCCCGAUCCGCCUCGCGCGCGGCUCCCAGGCCGGGCCAGAUCUGCGAGAUCCGCGCCGACAUCGACACGCCUUCCCCGAGGUGCAUGCGCCCGUGAUCUCUCCGGGGCCGCGGGCACUGAGCGGCAUCUCGGCGGGCGUGGGCCGCGUCGCUGGUGGCCAGCGGAGAUGCAGCGGAAUGGGGUGGUGGAAUGCAGCGUCUGCCGCAACCGGCUGGUGGUGCCGAGCCCGCGGAGCGUGUCCAGGGCCUACGACAAGCACCGCAGCAAGAUGUCGUCCAAGUUCCGCGCGCUCAACGUCUUCCUAGUUGUCGGCGACUGCAUCCUUGUCGGCCUCCAGCCCAUCCUAGUGUUCAUGUCAAAGGUUGAUGGGAAGUUUCAGUUCAGUCCCAUCAGUGUUAACUUUCUGACGGAGGUUAUGAAAGUUAUCUUUGCUAUCGUGAUGCUCAUAAUUCAGUCUAGAAAGCAAAAGGUUGGAGAAAAGCCACUUUUGGCACGUUCGACCUUCAUACAGGCAGCCCGUAAUAAUGUACUUCUAGCUGUUCCUGCUCUUCUAUAUGCUAUCAACAAUUACCUAAAAUUUAUCAUGCAGCUGUACUUCAAUCCUGCAACUGUGAAAAUGCUAAGUAAUUUAAAGGUGCUGGUCAUAGCUGUCCUUCUGAAAUUUAUAAUGAGGAGGAGAUUCUCGGUAAUUCAGUGGGAAGCUCUUGCUUUAUUGCUUAUUGGAAUCAGCAUCAAUCAACUUCGGACUGUACCUGCAGGCAAUACCGCAUUUGGUCUUCCUGUCACUGCAAUUGCGUACAUAUAUACACUGGUUUUUGUAACUGUUCCUUCGAUGGCUUCUGUCUACAAUGAAUAUGCCUUGAAGAGCCAAUAUGACACUAGCAUUUAUCUCCAGAACUUGUUUCUGUAUGGAUAUGGAGCAAUAUUCAACUUCCUUGGCAUUCUUGGGACUGCCUUGUUCCAAGGGCCAGAGAGUUUUAAUAUCCUUAGAGGACAUUCAAGGGCCACAAUGUUUCUCAUAUGUAACAAUGCUGCACAAGGCAUUCUAUCUUCAUUCUUCUUCAAGUAUGCAGACACAAUUUUGAAGAAGUAUUCGUCAACUGUUGCCACAAUAUUUACUGGCCUAGCUUCUGCUGCAUUUUUGGGUCAUACCUUGACCAUUAAUUUUCUCCUGGGCAUAUCAGUGGUGUUUAUUUCAAUGCACCAGUUCUUCUCUCCACUUGCUAAAGUCAAAGAUGACAAACCUGCUGACUUAUUAGAGUUGGAAGAUACACAAAACCAUCGGUCAUCUGAAUCUUCUUUUGUAAAUAUGACUGCUGGUGCGGCUGAUGAUGCGAGCCAUCGGAUUGGCACUGAUGAGAGGCAACCACUAUUGCCUACAUGAGCUUGUUUUUUGAGGCUGAGGCUGGAAUGUUUUGGAUAUAAUCCUCAAGAUCAGAAAAAUCUGGUAGGAUAGAAGAUGCUCGUUUUUACCGUGUGAGCAGCAGAACUGUUAUGUAGCAUUGUGAGUUGAAUAAACUAUUGUACACUGUAAAGGCAAAAGAGAAAGAAGCACCAAUGUGUUCCCCAAUUUCUUCUUUCAUUUUUUGGGACGAGGCGGGUGGCCGGCCACCAGUGGGUUUGUGGGAGUGGCAGACCAGCAUACCAUACAUUUUGAUAGACAUAUAAUUGGAUAGGGAUUCUCAGAUACGAUACUUGUAACCAAAAAUUUUCCUGGAGCUGUAUACAGAACAGUGGCAACCCGAUAAUUCUUUUUGUAAGAAUUCUUUUUUGGAUGUUGAUGAAAA